ensembl:lncRNA
CGGGGCGGGAGUACGACCUGGCGCUUGUGGCGGAACGAGGCGAGAGUCGGAGCGCAGCCGCCACCACUCAGGUGGUUCCGGGCGUCGCCACGGCGGCUCUGACCCUGCAGGUCACACAGGCGCCCGGCCCGGACCGGGACUCGAACCCUCGACCCGGGGCGCCCGGCCGCCCGGAGGAGGCGGACUCCGUCCGGGACCGGGUCCCUCUGACGCCCAGAGCGCAGACCCUCAUCAGCAGGGCCCUGGCGGCGAACGGGACCAGGCUCAGGGUCGCAGGGAGGCCAAAGGUCAGCGGGCCUAAGCCGUCACGGUCCAGCCCGGCCAGAGGCGGUCCGGAUGGACCCGGUCCAGAUGGACCCGGCCCAGGACCACCGAAGACAGACUCCACUAAAGGACCCGAUCGAUCUAAAGCUCUCGGAGCGAGAGAACCGACGACCCGGAGCUCUGAGGGAACCGACGGAAGAACUCCAGCUGCAGGGCCAGAGACCGGGUCCCAGGGACCAGGUCUCCACACACCACACCCAGACGGUGGACCCGACAGCGAUCUGGAAGGCCCAGAUCCAGCGAGUUCAGAUCCAGCCGGUACAGAUCCAUUGGGUUCAGAUCCAGCUGGUCCAGAUCCAGCGGGCCCUGAUUCAGCGGGUCCAGGUCCAGUGGGUCCAGAUCCAGGUCCUGCUGGGAGCCAGGAGCAGAAGUGUCUUAACAGAGUGAAAGUGACGCACGUGAGGCUCCCGCUGAAGGACCGGCGGGGGGGGGCGGGGCUGCAGGGCGGCCCGGCGGCGCCCCCUUCUGGGGAACUGGACCCGCUGCACAAACUCCUGACUGAGACCUUUCAGAGCCUCAACGUCUCCACGUUCUCCGUCCACCUGUCCGGAACGUCCAACCUGUCCCGGGACGACGGGACGGCGAGGAGGCAGCUGAUCGGCGGCUUGGUUCCACUGGCUUCGCCCUCAGAGCCUUCAUCAGAGUCUUCCUCACCUUCAUCACACUCCUCUUCAUCUUCAUCAGAUUCAUCAGACACAGAGUCAUCCUCAUCACCCUCUUCCUCUUCAUCAUCCUCCUCUUCAUCACCCUCCUCACCUUCAUCAUCCUCCUCCUCUUCAUCACCUUCCUCACCUUCAUCAUCCUCCUCUUCAUCACCUUCCUCACCUUCAUCAUCCUCCUCCUCUUCAUCACCUUCCUCACCUUCAUCAUCCUCCUCCUCUUCAUCACCCUCCUCACCUUCAUCACCCUCCUCUUCAUCACCAUCCGUCCCAGAUAACCCAGACUCUUCUGGAGGCGGUAACCAUGGCGACAGUCCGACUGACAGGAAACAGCCGUCCCUCUCAGAGAAAGUUCCGUAUUUCCGCCGGACUCUUCCUCGACGCCGCCCUCACCCGAACCUUGGUCUGUUCCAGAACAGAACCCUCCAGAACACCAGGGUUCCUCAUCGGUUCCCUCCUCGCCUGAACCCUGAAGUCCAAACCGAGUCCAGAGAUGAGUCGUCCUCAGACCCGGAGGUCGGGAAGGUGAAUCCUCCCAGGGACACCAAACAGAGGACAGCAGCGUCCACUCCGUCCAAACCGUCCACACUGUCCAGAAUCAGACAGAACGUCGCACUGACAGAUGGAGAACCAUCCCCGGUUCUCCGUCCUCCUCCAGAAGGAGGAUACUCCCGUCAGCCCUCUCUUCAUGUUGGACCUCUUCAGAACCGAACCCGUCCACUCCGGCAUCCUCUCACUGGUCCAGCAGACACAGAGACCUCGUCUCCUGUGAAACCGACAGGCUACCGUCCAUCCGGUUCAGGACCGGAGACGGAGGAGAAAGCUGGAACCGUCAGAGGAACAUUAUCUGGAGAACCGCCUUCUUCCCGUCACCCACCCAGGAGAGCUGGACUCUUCCACCGGACUCCUCAGAACCGCACCAACCUGACAUUUCCACAAAGGGGUCUGAUACGCAAACCUGUCCCGAGCACGAAGCUGAAUGUGGGCCUGAGACCCGGUCCUGGAGAUCCACCCAGCCAACUGGAGAGGGAUCCUCUCAGCGGGAACCAAGCGGGGCAGCAGAAUGUCCCCAGACAGUCUGAGCAAGACCAAACCAGGGACUCAGUGGAACGAGACUCUCCGACGGCAGCGUCCAUCGCUGAGGACAACGGUCGUGGUGCCAAUGAGCUGGAAGAGGAGAACCCAGAGGAAUCUAAGACCACCAACUUUCAAGAGUCAAGUCACAGUCAUCCAGGACUCUCAGGGUCAGUCCCACCCCCAACGG